AAAGGAUAUGACAUAAUUUAGACUUGAUCUGAGUGCUAGAACAAGUUAUUCGAUGAUAAUUUAUUUGAUACAAAAAUUUUAUUAUUUAAUUUUUUUAGUUAUUAAUAAGUCGUAAUAUUCAUAAUUUGAUAGGAUUGCAAAUUUUACAUACCAAAUAAUUAAUUUUAUAUUGAAAAGAUAACUCAAUAUUUUAUUCUAUUUGAUACACUUGACCAUACCUUUAACUUCUAAUCAUAAUAAAAUUUUUUUAAUAUCAAACAUAAAAAAUAUUAUUGAAUAAUUUAUUCGGAUAAUCACAUGAGGCCUUAUUUUAUUUUUGUAAAAACUUCAAAUAUCAUUUCUGUGGUUUCACAAUUUCUCACUUUAGUAUUAAAUAGUUUAAAGUGUAUUAAUUUAGUGUUCUAUGAUUUUAUUUUUAUCUUUUUAUUAUCGAUUUCACUAAUUUUUUUUUGUUAAANAAAUUAUAUACAAAAAACUUUAGAUACUCCACCUAAGUUUAUCAAAUAUUCACUUUAGUGUUCUAUGAUUUUAUUUUUAUCUUUUUAUUAUCGAUUUCACUAAUUUUUUUUUGUUAAAGCAGUGAUAAAGCUAAAAUUAAAGGGUACUAAAGUGAAUAUUUGAUAAACUUAGGUGGAGUAUCUAAAGUUUUUUGUAUAUAAUUUAAGGAAAUAUUAACGAAAAAACUAACGAAAUGAUAAAAAUAAAAAUACAAGAUGCUAACUUGAUGUACUUUAAACUACAGAAUAUUAAAGUAAAAACAUACGAAAUCAUAGGAGUGGUAUAUGAAGUUUACACUUUAUUUUUUCAACAAAUUGUACUCCUAUUUUCACGGA
rnacentral:lncRNA from 1 species